UACGUAGGGUGCGAGCGUUGUCCGGAAGUUAUUGGGCGUAAAGGGCUCGUAAGGCGGUCCAUCGCGUCGGGAGUGAAAAGCUGGGGCUUAACCCCAGUCCUGCUUUCGAUACGGGUGGACUAGAGGUAGGCAGGGGAGAACGGAAUUCCUGGUGUAGCGGUGAAAUGCGCAGAUAUCAGGAAGAACACCCGUGGCUAAGGCGGCUCUCUAGUACGGUACUGACGCUGAGACGCGAAAGCGUGGGGAGCGAACAGG
rnacentral:rRNA from 1 species